GACGAACGCUGGCGGCGUGCCUAAUACAUGCAAGUAGAACGCUGAAGGAGGAGCUUGCUCUUCUGGAUGAGUUGCGAACGGGUGAGUAACGCGUAGGUAACCUGCCUGGUAGCGGGGGAUAACUAUUGGAAACGAUAGCUAAUACCGCAUAACAGUAGAUGUUGCAUGACAUUUACUUAAAAGGUGCAAUUGCAUCACUACCAGAUGGACCUGCGUUGUAUCAGCUAGUUGGUGGGGUAACGGCCCACCAAGGCGACGAUACAUAGCCGACCUGGGAGGGGGGACGGCCAAACUGGGAAUGAGAACAGGCCCAAGACUCUACGGGAGGGAGCCGUAGGGGAACUUCGGCAAUGGACGGAAGUCUGACCGAGGAACGCCGCGUGAGUGAAGGAGGUUUUCGGAUCGUAAAGCUCUGUUGUAUGAGAAGAACGAGUGUGAGAGUGGAAAGUUCACACUGUGACGUUAUCUUACCAGAAAGGGACGGCUAACUACGUG
rnacentral:rRNA from 1 species